CCUACGGGUGGCAGCAGUAGGGAAUUUUGCGCAAUGGGCGAAAGCCUGACGCAGCAACGCCGCGUGAUUGAUUAAGCCCUUCGGGGUGUAAAGAUCUGUCAGUGGGGACGAAACUUGACGGUACCCACAGAGGAAGCACCGGCUAACUCCGUGCCAGCCGCCGCGGUAAUACGGAGGGUGCACGCGUUGUCCGGUAUCAUUGGGCGUAAAGAGUUCGUAGGUGGCAGAUUAAGUCUGGUGGUAAAUGCAGAAGCAGAACUUCUGUUCGGCUGUUGAUACUGGUAGUCUUGAGUUGGGUAGAGGUAAAGGGAAUUCGGGGUGUAGCGGUGAAAUGCGUAGAGAUAGGGAGGAA
rnacentral:rRNA from 1 species